GAUGAACGCUGGCGGCGUGCCUAAUACAUGCAAGUCGAGCGAACAGACGAGGAGCUUGCUCCUUUGAUGUUAGCGGCGGACGGGUGAGUAACACGUAGGUAACCUACCUAUAAGACUGGGAUAACUUCGGGAAACCGGAGCUAAUACCGGAUAAUAUUUCGAACCGCAUGGUUCGUUAGUGAAAGAUGGCUUUGCUAUCACUUAUAGAUGGACCUGCGCCGUAUUAGCUAGUUGGUAAGGUAACGGCUUACCAAGGCAACGAUGCGUAGCCGACCUGAGAGGGUGAUCGGCCACACUGGAACUGAGACACGGUCCAGACUCCUACGGGAGGCAGCAGUAGGGAAUCUUCCGCAAUGGGCGAAAGCCUGACGGAGCAACGCCGCGUGAGUGAUGAAGGUCUUCGGAUCGUAAAACUCUGUUAUUAGGGAAGAACAAACGUGUAAGUAACUGUGCACGUCUUGACGGUACCUAAUCAGAAAGCCACGGCUAACUACGUG
rnacentral:rRNA from 1 species